CACAGGAGCCUCAGAUAAAAGAGACGGAGAGAAAGAGGAUGAUGAAGAAGAGACCCGAAGCAGAGCGACGACCCGCGCCGCGUCUCGUCUGGAGGCAGAGAAGAAUAAACCCAGCAAACCGUCCACUCGAGCUGUCAGUAAACUCAGCGGGAAAGAGGAAAACUCCCCGAACACACGAUCGGUGAGGGGAUGCAAGCGUGACUCCAGUCCUGCUCUUCCUCGCACACGUGGAGCACAGAAAUCUGACGAACCACCUUCAAAACGAGCCAAACGAUGAUGAGUCUCCGCUUUAUCUCCUCGAGUUCACCGUUAGUAGUGGUUUAAAGGUCAGAGAGUGUUGGGAAAUUAAUCCGAAUCAGAGCAGCUGAUAAUCAACAUGAUUCAAUUCUGCAGACGAAUGAAGAGAUGAAGAGACUGAUGAUGAAGAGCUGCUGUGUGUAAAUAACUCAAUAAUAAUAUUCAAUUCAUCAGUGCAGUGUUGACUGUGAGAAACUGCAGGUUUUACACCACUCUGUGUGUGCGUGCGUGCGUGUGUGUGAGAGUGUUGUGUGUGAGUGAGUGUCUGUGUGUGUGUG